CGAAAGUGAUCCCUUUCCUGACUGCAAGGUGAUCCCCGUCUGGUAGGGGAGAUAGGACAUGCACAGAAAUAGUUAAAAUACCAGGGUAGGAGAAUUAAGCAGAGGGAGAAACACACUAGCAAAGGCUGGAGAUGGAAAAGUACAGGACGAGAAGAGUGAGUCGUUUGCCUGGGUUGCAGCACUGCAUGCUCAGACGGGAGCACUGAGGAAUACAGCUGAACAGGUGCAUGACUUUCUGCCCAAUUACUUGUUUUCAACCCAUCAGAGCAAGUCAAGCAUGCAUCUCAGAAGUCUCACUGUCACACUUGGCCUAGGUUGCCCCCGUGCACUGUCUCUGUUCUCAGUAUUCUGCCUCUGCAUACCCACAGAACAAUAGCUCUAAGUUUCCCAGACCCUCGUGUGGAGGCUUGGUCAAAAGGCGAAACCUGAAGAAAUACUUUAGCACAGGAUGAAGGAGGAAGUGGCAGAAGGGUAAAACCAACCCCUGUCAAACUUCACCAAGUGGCUCUGCCCCGGACUCAGCUCCACCACAUCCUACUCUUAUUGGGAGGCCAAGCAAGAAGGACUAAGGUGACUGGGACCUGGGCAGUGGGAGAAUGGGCAGUGGGAGAAAGAUCAUGAGGAAGCAGAAGGGGCUUUGUUUUGGUCCAGGGAACCAAAUCCAGCACUAUAACCGCCACCAGUCCUGGGAGUCACUGGCAGAAAAAAUCAGAACAGGGAAUGCAAAGGUGCUGCUCUGCCUCUACUGAGCACCCCUCCCCAUCUCUAAGACUCAUUCUUAUAUUCUAUAAAAUGGGGAUUAUGACAUCCACCUGUGUGUCCUGUUGACCUGUUUGUAAAGGUAGAAUAAGGUAAGUGAGUAUGAAAGCACUUUAAACAUGUAAAGCACUAUAUUACAGGCUUUUUCUCACUCAACUGACCCUAGUCAUUAGGAUGGGUAGACAUGACAAGAAGGAAGAAGAAUGCAGAUGCC
rnacentral:lncRNA from 10 species